GCCGGGGUGAGGUAGCCUGGUUAGCCUGGGGGCCUGUGGAGCCCCAAGCCCGGGUUCAAGACAGUGGAGGAAGUCCCGGCCCCGGCC
rnacentral:tRNA from 1 species